AAAGGCAAGAUGCGUAAAGUAAGUAUCUUGAAAUAAUGGAUAGCUUUAAAACUCCAGCUUGAUCAUCAUAAGCUAAAACAUAAACAUAUAUGCUUACGUUUAAGCUUCCAACCAUAGCGAAAGUAAAAAAAAAUAAACAUUACAUUAUUUUUUUGUUUCUUAUGAAGAUAGGAUGUUCAAUAAUCUCCCUUUAAUUCUUUAUUUCGAAAGUGCACGUCAGUACUAACUAGGCUGCAAUACAACGUGGACGGAACAAACCUCAUAUUUUGUAUUUCAUGGAAAGAAGCACUAACGAAAGAGAUAGAGAUGCAUUCAUAUAUAGUUAAAGACGAGAUAAGCACAUACA
rnacentral:lncRNA from 1 species